rnacentral:tRNA from 1 species
GUUUUAUAGUCAAUAUAUGAUAUUAGAUUGCAAUUCUAAAGUAGUAAAUUAUACUAAAGCUU